AGUGAACGCUGGCGGUAGGCCUAACACAUGCAAGUCGAACGGCAGCACAGUAAGAGCUUGCUCUUACGGGUGGCGAGUGGCGGACGGGUGAGGAAUACAUCGGAAUCUACUUUUUCGUGGGGGAUAACGUAGGGAAACUUACGCUAAUACCGCAUACGACCUACGGGUGAAAGCAGGGGAUCUUCGGACCUUGCGCGAUUGAAUGAGCCGAUGUCGGAUUAGCUAGUUGGCGGGGUAAAGGCCCACCAAGGCGACGAUCCGUAGCUGGUCUGAGAGGAUGAUCAGCCACACUGGAACUGAGACACGGUCCAGGCUCCUACGGGAGGCAGCAGUGGGGAAUAUUGGACGAUGGGCGCAAGCCUGAUCCAGCCAUACCGCGUGGGUGAAGAAGGCCUUCGGGUUGUAAAGCCCUUUUGUUGGGAAAGAAAAGCAGCAGGUUAAUACCCCGCUGUUCUGACGGUACCCAAAGAAUAAGCACCGGCUAACUUCGUG
rnacentral:rRNA from 1 species